UCUUACGCUCUUGUCUUCAUAUUCCCUCCCCUAUCCUCCCAGUUUUUCUUGAUUAUUUCUACAAAAUUUACUAGACUGUAUAACAACUGUAGAAGAAGAACUGCAUACCGCAAGGCAUUCUUCCCAAUAUCUGAGCCUGCAUUUCUGAGAAAUCUGAGAUUUCAUUAAGAAGACAUCAGUUUUUAUUCAAAAAGUGUCCAUCGUGCCAGAGAGAGCCACAACGCAGGUUUCAAUGGACAGAUGGAAGGCAGCCAUCAUCUGCACUGGUGUGGAAAUGUGUCUUACAAGGUCUCAGGAAGUUCCUGCUGUAAUGGUAAUAUAACUCUGGGAUUAAGCCAGCUGGUGGCUGACUGCUGUGGUUCUGUAGCUUACAAUCCACUUAAUGAGAUUUGCUGUAAUGGCAGUAUUCUGACUCGAAGCAGCACUUACGCGAAAUGCUGUGGCAAAGACAUGUACUUGACAACGACUCAUGUGUGUUGUGGUAAAAACAACAUAUUUCAAUGGAAGGAAAAUCAUUCUUGUUGUGGCGAGAAAACAUAUGACGAGACAAUCCACUGCUGCUGUAGUAACCCUACACCAGUAGUAAAGCAUAAAAAUGAAACUUGCUGUCUAAAAGCAAAAGAUCAUGAUAAAAAAACAGAACACCAGCCAGGCUCUCCUCCAACUCGCCCUCUGCCCAUAUUAUCAGACUUGAUUUGUGGAUCAGAAACCUACAAUCCCCAUAAACAAAUGUGUUGCUCAGGGAAUCUGUAUAAGGCAUCAGCACUUACUAAGUGCUGUGGUGGAGAUGCUUACACUCUGUCAGAUGACAAUGUGCUGUGCUGUAAUGGAAUCCUUCAUCUCAAUGUGCCUGAGCAGUCUGAGUGUGUUGGAGGUGUUAUAUAUACUCCAGCAAACACUACUUGCCAAAUGUCGACCCGUCCUCGUCUUGGAGAGCACUGCUGUGGAGGACAAACCUUCAAUCCUCGCACGCAUAUUUGCUGUAAUGGUCACAGG
ensembl:lncRNA